UAGGGAAUCUUCGGCAAUGGACGGAAGUCUGACCGAGCAACGCCGCGUGAGUGAAGAAGGUUUUCGGAUCGUAAAGCUCUGUUGUUAGAGAAGAACGUUGGUAGGAGUGGAAAAUCUACCAAGUGACGGUAACUAACCAGAAAGGGACGGCUAACUACGUGCCAGCAGCCGCGGUAAUACGUAGGUCCCGAGCGUUGUCCGGAUUUAUUGUGCGUAAAGCGAGCGCAGGCGGUUCUUUAAGUCUGAAGUUAAAGGCAGUGGCUUAACCAUUGUACGCUUUGGAAACUGGAGGACUUGAGUGCAGAAGGGGAGAGUGGAAUCCCAUGUGUAACGGUGAAAUGCGUAGAUAUAUGGAGGAACACCGGUGGCGAAAGCGGCUCUCUGGUCUGUAACUGACGCUGAGGCUCGAAAGCGUGGGGAGCAAACAGG
rnacentral:rRNA from 1 species